rnacentral:rRNA from 1 species
UACGUAGGGAGCAAGCGUUGUCCGGAAUCAUUGGGCGUAAAGCGCGCGUAGGUGGCCCAGUAAGUCCGUUCUGAAAGUCACAGGCUCAACCUGUGAAAGCGGAUGGAUACUGCUGGGCUAGAGUCCGGAAGAGGCGAGUGGAAUUCCUGGUGUAGCGGUGGAAUGCGCAGAUAUCAGGAGGAACACCAACGGCGAAGGCAGCUCGCUGGGACGGUACUGACACUAAGGCGCGAAGGCCAGGGGAGCAAACGGG